rnacentral:rRNA from 1 species
GAUGAACGCUGGCGGCGUGCCUAAUACAUGCAAGUCGAGCGAACGGACGAGAAGCUUUCUUCUCUGAGGUUAGCGGCGGACGGGGGAGUAACACGUGGAUAACAUACCUAUAAGACUGGGAUAACUUCGGGAAACAGGAGCUAAUACCGGAUAAUAUUUUGAACCGCAUGGUUCAAAAGUGAAAGAAGGUCUUGCUGUCACUUAUAGAUGGAUCCGCGCUGCAUUAGCUAGUUGGUAAGGUAACGGCUUACCAAGGCAACGAUGCAUAGCCGACCUGAGAGGGUGAUCGGCCACACUGGAACUGAGACACGGUCCAGACUACUACGGGAGGCAGCAGUAGGGAAUCUUCCGCAAUGGGCGGAAGCCUGCCGAAGCAGCGCCGCGUGAGUGAUGAAGGUCUUCGGAUCGUAAUACUCUGUUAUCAGGGGAGAACAUAUGUGUAAGUAACUGUGCACAUCUUGACGGUACCUGAUCAGAAAGCCACGGCUAACUACGUG